AGUCGUGCGAGAAGGGCUUCGGCCCCGGUAAAGCGGCGCACGGGUGAGUAACACGUAGGUCAUCUCCCCUCGAGUGGUGGAUAACCCUCCGAAAGGAGGACUAAUACAGCAUGAGACCACGAUCUCAUUGAGAUUGCGGUCAAAGCGGACCUCUUCUUGAAAGUUCGCGCUCAAGGAUGAGCCUGCGGCCCAUCAGCUAGUUGGCGAGGUAACAGCUCACCAAGGCUAAGACGGGUAGCUGGUCUGAGAGGAUGAGCAGCCACACUGGAACUGAAACACGGUCCAGACUCCUACGGGAGGCAGCAGUAGGGAAUCUUGCGCAAUGGACGAAAGUCUGACGCAACGACGCCGCGUGAGCGAUGAAGGCCUUCGGGUCGUAAAGCUCUGUGGGGAGAGACGAAUAAGGUAUGGCUAACAUCCAUGCCGAUGACGGUAUCUCCUUAGCAAGCACCGGCUAACUCUGUGCCAGCAGCCGCGGUAAGACAGAGGGUGCAAACGUUGUUCGGAAUUACUGGGCGUAAAGCGCGCGUAGGUGGCCGUGCAAGUCGGGCGUGAAAUCCCAUGGCUCAACCAUGGAAGUGCACUCGAAACUGCACAGCUAGAGUCUCGGAGAGGAAGGCGGAAUGCUUGGUGUAGAGGUGAAAUUCGUAGAUAUCAAGCGGAACACCGGUGGCGAAGGCGGCCUUCUGGACGAUGACUGACGCUG
rnacentral:rRNA from 1 species